rnacentral:rRNA from 1 species
GAUGAACGCUGGCGGCGUGCCUAAUACAUGCAAGUCGAGCGAACAGACGAGGAGCUUGCUCCUCUGACGUUAGCGGCGGACGGGUGAGUAACACGUGGAUAACCUACCUAUAAGACUGGGAUAACUUCGGGAAACCGGAGCUAAUACCGGAUAAUAUAUUGAACCGCAUGGUUCAAUAGUGAAAGACGGUUUUGCUGUCACUUAUAGAUGGAUCCGCGCCGCAUUAGCUAGUUGGUAAGGUAACGGCUUACCAAGGCAACGAUGCGUAGCCGACCUGAGAGGGUGAUCGGCCACACUGGAACUGAGACACGGUCCAGAGUCCUACGGGAGGCAGCAGUAGGGAAUCUUCGGCAAUGGGCGAAAGCUUGACGGAGCAACGCCGAGUGAGUGAUGAAGGUCUUCGGAUCGUAAAACUCUGUUAUUAGGGAAGAACAAAUGUGUAAGUAACUAUGCACGUCUUGACGGUACCUAAUCAGAAAGCCACGGCUAACUACGUG